UACGAAGGGGGCUAGCGUUGUUCGGAAUUACUGGGCGUAAAGCGCACGUAGGCAAGCAAGUCAGGGGUGAAAGGCCUGGGCUCAACCUGGGAACUGCCUUUGAAACUGCUGGUCUUGAGUCCGGGAGAGGAUGGCGGAAUUCCCAGUGUAGAGGUGAAAUUCGUAGAUAUUAGGAAGAACACCGGUGGCGAAGGCGGCCAUCUGGACCGGCACUGACGCUGAGGCGCGAAAGCGUGGGGAGCAAACAGG
rnacentral:misc_RNA from 1 species